AUGGCGACCCUGUGAAUCAGCGACCGCCAGUAGCAACUGUCGUGAACCACCUGUUCAGAUCUUGUCAGUUCAGUGGCCGACCAGUUGCCUAUGGGAAACACGCAAGCAGGACCCGAGUGCAAGGAGCACUUGAUGGGUGGAGCCACAGGAAAAAAUGGUCGGAGCAACAAAUCCAGUUGUUACCUGUGCCUCUUCCAUCCUCCUACUGAGCACCGUGGCAUCGGAUCGUGGCGUGGGAUCCCACCCACCCACCUGCCGCCUCUGCCUCCACUCCGACCUCACGCGCUGAGCAUGAGGGGCUGUUGCUCCUCCGCCAUUUCCUCGCCCGGCGAGAUCUCAUAGACGACGCAGAGGGACGAAUACAGGCAGCCGACAAAGGACACCACGCUGGCAAAGUACAUCACCCCGUUGGCGCUGCCCACCGCGGCCGUUAAAGGCCCCAUCACCAUGGAGACGAGGAUCUGUGCAAGGAAGUACUGGCAGCUCAAGAGGGAGAUGUCCACCCCCAUUCCUCUCUUGGUGCCGUCCUCAUUGGAUCCUGCAAACUGUUCAGUGGGGGGCAGAAGAAGGCUCUUGUUGAAAACAAUUAUCUUAGACGCAGUUUUACAGUGGGGGCUCUGGGGGCAGGGAUGGGGGCACUUGUGCCCCCCCAGAUGUUGUUGGGUUCUGACUUCCAUCAGCCCCAGGCAGCAUGGCCAACGGUCAGGUACGAUGAUGGCGAUCUAUUUUGCUUAUGAAUCACUUCCUAUGAAGCCUCUCAAAGCCAUAAAACCACUUAAAACAAUUGCAUUUAUACCUUUAAAAACCGUUUGAACAACUGCAUAUUUAAAAACAUUUUUAAAGGAUGGGCAUUUUAGUCUAGCAACAUCUGGAGAGCCACAGAUCUCCAGAUUCCCAGACUGAUAAGGGGGCAACCCUAAAAAAAAUCCCCAUUCCAUCAGGCUGCCUCUGUGGGAGAGAUGGGGAGUGGAGCUCAUUCCAUCAGUGCUGCUGAAAGACCAGCUCCGUCAGGUUACCUCUUGCUCCUGUUCUGUUUCUGUGCCAGUUGGUCAUUAGAAGAACUACUCUUUCAGAAUUGGUACCUGAGUUUGCUUUUUUUCCCCUCUUCCCUCCCUGUGCCUUUCGUUUCUGUGUCUUGUUUUGUUUUGUUUUAAGAUUGUAAGCCUGAGGUCCAGGACUGCCUAGUUUUAAUUAAUUGUACUUAGCCACUCAGGGAGCUUUUUUUGGCCGCACAGCAGCGUACAAAUGCCCUAAAUAAAACAAAUAUAUCCGCUUGGGCUGCCACACCUGAGACUCACCUUCUUGCUCUGGUAGUAGUCGCACAACAGAGAAUAUGGGAGUGUGCAGAGCGUUGAAAAUAAAAUUCCGUAAGUUACGCAGAGUGAUAAAAUCACAUAGACAUUCCGGGACAACGUUGCUAGCCCCGUGCCGA